rnacentral:rRNA from 1 species
UACAGAGGGCUCAAGCGUUGUUCGGAUUCAUUGGGCGUAAAGGGUGCGUAGGUGGCGUGGUAAGUCGGGUGUGAAAUUUCGGAGCUUAACUCCGAAACUGCAUUCGAUACUGCUGUGCUUGAGGACUGGAGAGGAGACUGGAAUUUACGGUGUAGCAGUGAAAUGCGUAGAGAUCGUAAGGAAGACCAGUGGCGAAGGCGGGUCUCUGGACAGUUCCUGACACUGAGGCACGAAGGCCAGGGGAGCAAACGGG